rnacentral:rRNA from 1 species
UGCGUAGGUGGCGAGGUAAGUCGGAUGUGAAAUCUCGGAGCUCAACUCCGAAACGGCAUUGGAAACUACCUUGCUCGAGGGUUGGAGGGGGACUGGAAUUCUCGGUGUAGCAGUGAAAUGCGUAGAUAUCGAGAGGAACACCGGUGGCGAAGGCGAGUCCCUGGACAACUCCUGACACUGAGGCACGAAAGCUAGGGGAGCAAACAGGAUUAGAUACCCUGGUAGUCCUAGCCGUAAACGGUGCAUGCUUGCUGUAAAAGGAAUCGACCCCUUUUGUGGCGGAGCCAACGCGUUAAGCAUGCCGCCUGGGAAGUACGGUCGCAAGAUUAAA